GCUCAGAUUGAACGCUGGCGGCAUGCCUUACACAUGCAAGUCGAACGGUAACAGGUCUUCGGAUGCUGACGAGUGGCGAACGGGUGAGUAAUACAUCGGAACGUGCCCGAUCGUGGGGGAUAACGGAGCGAAAGCUUUGCUAAUACCGCAUACGAUCUACGGAUGAAAGCAGGGGACCGCAAGGCCUUGCGCGGACGGAGCGGCCGAUGGCAGAUUAGGUAGUUGGUGGGAUAAAAGCUUACCAAGCCGACGAUCUGUAGCUGGUCUGAGAGGACGACCAGCCACACUGGGACUGAGACACGGCCCAGACUCCUACGGGAGGCAGCAGUGGGGAAUUUUGGACAAUGGGCGAAAGCCUGAUCCAGCCAUGCCGCGUGCAGGAUGAAGGCCUUCGGGUUGUAAACUGCUUUUGUACGGAACGAAAAGACUCCUUCUAAUAAAGGGGGUCCAUGACGGUACCGUAAGAAUAAGCACCGGCUAACUACGUGCCAGCAGCCGCGGUAAUACGUAGGGUGCAAGCGUUAAUCGGAAUUACUGGGCGUAAAGCGUGCGCAGGCGGUUAUAUAAGACAGAUGUGAAAUCCCCGGGCUCAACCUGGGAACUGCAUUUGUGACUGUAUAGCUAGAGUACGGUAGAGGGGGAUGGAAUUCCGCGUGUAGCAGUGAAAUGCGUAGAUAUGCGGAGGAACACCGAU
rnacentral:rRNA from 1 species